GGGCUCGUAGCUCAGCUUGGUAGAGCAGCUGGCUUUUAACCAGUUGGUCGGGCGUUCAAAUCGCCCCGGGCCCA
rnacentral:tRNA from 1 species